ACGGAGGGUGCAAGCGUUAUCCGGAUUCACUGGGUUUAAAGGGUGCGUAGUCGGCCUGUUAAGUCAGAGGUGAAAACUUGCAGCUCAACUGUAAGCUUGCCUUUGAUACUGAUGGGCUUGAAUAAACUAGAGGUAGGCGGAAUGUGACAAGUAGCGGUGAAAUGCAUAGAUAUGUCACAGAACACCAAUUGCGAAGGCAGCUUACUAUGGUUUUAUUGACGCUGAGGCACGAAAGCGUGGGGAUCAAACAGGA
rnacentral:rRNA from 1 species